AGAAGAAGAGUGUUUGCACUGCACUGGGCUUCGUAAGAAUAUCCAAUAUGGAAUUAGCUCCUUUUCAUCACAACCCCGCUGAUACCAAUGUCAAAGGACGCCAGCGUUUUACAAUCCAAUCAGGCCCGAGCAGCUCCAGUUUGUGUAAUUUGAUUGAGGGAAAAAGGGCAGCUCCAAAUGGCUACCUCACAGCUGUUUGAGGCUCUAAAAACAUAACACGGCUCAUGUGAGUCCCUCGUUUCCAGCUCAGACAGUAAUUCACAGCUUGAGUCCAACAUCAGAGCCCGAUCACAGGGGAAGCUCUCCAGAAGGUGCAGAUGGUAUUUCUUCUCCUCUGGCAGCCAGAACAGGUCAAACAUUUAAUAACAAAUUCUCAAAAAUUUGGCCCUGGAGCACACACACCAGCCAAUCAGUGUAAUCCAAACCAGCAGACGGCUAUAAGCAAGUGUUAUUUGUUUCUCAUUGCGUCACAUAUGUAGCCAAGUGAACUAAUACUACGCAUGGAAAGGGUUUAAAAAGAGGGAAUUGUGUUUUUGACUGGUUGCCUGUCUACCGGAGGUCUGUUGUAGGGUUGUCAUGGUGAUGACUAGACCUCGCGUUUUGGGGGUAUACUGUCCCUUUAAGAGCCGCCGUAAGCCAGAGCACGCAUGCACUCAAGUUUGUGUCACACUGAGCGCUGUGAGCGGGAGCACUGGAGAGUUAGAGACUGCAAAAGAUUCUGUGGCUAGCUACACACGAGGUAAAUGUGCUAAAAAGUGUAGCAUACUGCAAAAUAUUGUCACCAGUGUUGUAGUAGACUGUAAUUAGCUAAGUUUCUUUAGCAAUGACUCCAUGUUUGUGACCAUUUCUGUACAGUUCUUAACGCGCGACGGGUGCAUGUUUAAUGGUCACGUGCUGUGAAAGGGACUGAAGAGCGGGUUGGCAGGGGAGAUUACUUGCUGUGUGAUUCCUGCAUGUGUACUUGUCCUAGCACAGUAGCUGUGUGGAGAAACCGAAGUGAGUUCAUGAUGUUCUCCCAUAGAAAUGUAUGUUUAAAAGAGAGUUUACAGUGCACUUUAUUGCCAGUUGACCUGCCAAGUUGUGGGAUGUAAACAAUGUGUUUAUUUGUUUUGUUUUCUCUUUUUUUUGUUGUAUUUGUUUCUUGACAGGUCACUACUGUUGUCUAUACUGUUUGGAUUUAACAUGUACAUAUGAUAGUUACUGUUGUCUCAGACCCUGAAAGGCAGUUUAGGCUGAGCCAGUGGAAUAGUUAAAUUUUGCCGUUUCACUCAAAACUACAGAAUUAAAACUGUGCUCCUCCGAGUACAGUCGGAGAAUAAAAAAGCCCACAAAAGAGUA